rnacentral:rRNA from 1 species
UACGUAGGGUGCGAGCGUUGUCCGGAAUUACUGGGCGUAAAGAGCUCGUAGGUGGUUUGUCGCGUUGUCCGUGAAAACUCACAGCUCAACUGUGGGCGUGCGGGCGAUACGGGCAGACUGGAGUACUGCAGGGGAGACUGGAAUUCCUGGUGUAGCGGUGGAAUGCGCAGAUAUCAGGAGGAACACCGGUGGCGAAGGCGGGUCUCUGGGCCGAUACUGACGCUGAGGAGCGAAAGCGUGGGGAGCGAACGGG